UGGGGAAUUUUGCGCAAUGGACGAAAGUCUGACGCAGCAACGCCGCGUGGGUGAUGAAGGUCUUCGGAUUGUAAAACCCUGUCGUCAGGGACGAAGGUAUGGUUCUUAAUAUGGAUCAUGCUUGACGGUACCUGGAGAGGAAGCCCCGGCUAACUCUGUGCCAGCAGCCGCGGUAAUACAGAGGGGGCAAGCGUUAUUAGGAAUUAUUGGGCGUAAAUGGCGCGUAGGCGGUUUUGUAAGUAGGAUGUGUAAUCCCCGAGCUUAACUUGGGAACUGCAUCCUAGACUGCAAGGCUAGAGUGCUGGAGAGGGUGGUAGAAUUCCACGUGUAGCGGUGAAAUGCGUAGAGAUGUGGAGGAAUACCAGUGGCGAAGGCGGCCACCUGGACAGUAACUGACGCUGAGGCGCGAAAGUGUGGGUAGCAAACA
rnacentral:rRNA from 1 species